rnacentral:rRNA from 1 species
ACUCAAAGGAAUAGACGGGGGCCCGCACAAGCAGCGGAGCGUGUGGUUUAAUUCGAUGCAACGCGAAGAACCUUACCCGGGCUUGACAUGCACCUGGUACCGAGCCGAAAGGGGAGGGACCCGCAAGGGAGGGUGCACAGGUGCUGCAUGGCUGUCGUCAGCUCGUGCCGUGAGGUGUUGGGUUAAGUCCCGCAACGAGCGCAACCCUCGCCGUCAGUUGCUAUUCUGGCGGGACCGCCGGGUUCAACCCGGAGGAAGGUGGGGAUGACGUCAAGUCAGCACGGCCCUUACGUCCGGGGCGACACACACGCUACAAUGACCGGUCCAAAGGGCAGCCAAGGGGCGACCCGGAGCGAAUCCCACAAAGCCGGUCCCAGUGGGGAUCGGGGGCUGCAACUCGCCCCCGUGAACGCGGAGUUGCUAGUAACCGCCGGUCAGCACACGGCGGUGAAUACGUUCCCGGGCCUUGUACACACCGCCCGU